UACGAAGGUCCCAAGCGUUAUCCGGAUUUAUUGGGUUUAAAGGGUGCGUAGGCGGGUUAUUAAGUCAGUGGUGAAAGCCUUCAGCUUAACUGAAGAACUGCCAUUGAUACUGAUGAUCUUGAGUAUGAUUGAGGUGGGCGGAAUGUGUCAUGUAGCGGUGAAAUGCUUAGAUAUGACACAGAACACCGAUUGCGAAGGCAGCUCACUAAGUCAAUAACUG
rnacentral:rRNA from 1 species